rnacentral:rRNA from 1 species
UACAGAGGGGGCAAGCGUUGUUCGGAAUUACUGGGCGUAAAGGGCGCGUAGGCGGCCCGCUAAGUCGAACGUGAAAUCCCCGGGCUCAACCCGGGAACUGCGUCCGAUACUGGUGGGCUUGAAUCCGGGAGAGGGAUGCGGAAUUCCAGGUGUAGCGGUGAAAUGCGUAGAUAUCUGGAGGAACACCGGUGGCGAAGGCGGCAUCCUGGACCGGUACUGACGCUGAUGCACGAAAGCUAGGGGAGCGAACGGG